rnacentral:lncRNA from 1 species
GCCCCAUUGUUAGGGUUAGUGUAAGAGAAAUUCCUGCCUGAGUUGUUAGAUUGAACUGAAUGAUGUAUAAAGUUUCUUCCAACUUAGUUCUAUUUUUUUGUGAUCUUCUGAAAGUAGCAUUAUGAUCACUUAAAGUAAUAAGGAUGGAUACGUAUAGAAAAAGCAUAAAAUUGAAAGUCAGGUGAACCAAAGUCUGUUACCAGUUCUGCUCUUAAUUGUGAUCUUAACUUUAGACAUCUCACUUAACCUCCUUAUGCCUCAGUUUCUCAUUUGACAUAAAAAUCUCUGCCUCCCAGUAGUUAUGAGAUGAAAGGUGAGAAAAGCACUUUGCUCUUAAAAAAAGGUUUUGCAUAAGUAAUGUAUUAUGCCUAUGUAUCUCAUAGGAUUAUUGUGAAGACCAAGUGAGAUAAUUAUGUCAACUGCUUUGUAAACUUAAGCUGCCAUGUAUUUAUUAUUGUUAUUACUAUUAUAAAUCUAAGUACUAGUAUUACACUUUCCACAUACUCAAUUCAGUUCAUAGGUGUAUGUAUGCCUUUGAUUCACUAGUUAAUUUUUCUUAAAGCCCAAAAUUAUUAUGUUUAAAUUAAAUAUUAAAUUUUGAAAGAUAAUUUUGAGUAGUUUUACCCUGCUAUUCUAGAGCCUCAUUAUGUAGCAGAGUUCCCCAUGAUUCCCUAAUGGAGUAUGUGCUCUUGAAGGAAUCUGAGAAAGUAAGAUUGCUCUGUGGCAGGUUAGGGUGAAAUCAGCAUGAUGAUUCAAUGAUUAAUUCAUCAUUUAUCAAUCUGUUUAAGUAGAAUGCAUUCAGUUUCAGAAUGUUGCCAUUAGUGAUUUCACAGGGGACUACUGAAACUCUGGAAUGGCUCCUCUGAAAUAAACUGCUAUGCAAAUCUGUGUGAUUAUGCCCAUGUCCUUAAACAGUAUCAGUAUUUCUGCCCAGAGGGUAUUUUUGCCAUUUGGUCCUUUUCCUGCUUGCACUAAAUUACCCCACAUGUUGUAAACUUAAUAUCAUCCAAGUACAUUUUCUUGUAUUAACUCAGGAAAGGAAUGGAAUCAGCUGUCAUUACUGAUUUCAUGCCUGUGAAAGAAACCUUUCCUGUAGCAACUUAUCAGUAAAAAUGAUUGAAUAGAAAUAGUUUCUUUUUUGUGUGUGUGCUAGUGUGAUGAUGAGCUAGGUCCUGUUUCUGUUUGUAUGAGGACUGCUGUUUACUAUAUGUAGUCUUCAGAAAACAAAUGAAGACCAAUAUGAUGUUAAAUUAGUAAUUUUUUAAUUAAGUGAAAUUCAAUCAAAGCAAUAUUUUUCUUGCUUAACGACAGGAUGACUGUCGCAGGUUAUUUGCAAAUGUGUUUCUGUUCUUAGAAAACUAAUAAACAGAAGGUGCCAAAAAAGUUAGUAGAUUAGUUUACUAUGGCACUCUGCUAUAAGUAAUGGUCAAAAAAAAAAAAGGGUAAAAUCUAUUACAAGUUAAUAUUAAUAAACAUGAUAAAAUACAUUAAAUUGGUUACAUGAUCAGACUUAUUAAUACCAUUUGUAGUUUAUUAUUGGGCCAUAUUGAGGACAAAACUACAGGAAUGUUGAAAGGUUCAUAGGACAAUUGGAAAAACUAGAAGCUAUCUCAGGGAUCAUCUAGUAAAACCCUCUAAUGUUAUAGAUGAAUAAACAAGUCAGAAACACAAUAUUGAGUAAAAUCUAGUGUUAGAUUUGAUGUCAGAUCCGGAUUUGAUUCUUGGCAUUGUCACUUAUUAUUCUGUGACUGGUGUACCUCCCAUAGCUUGCUCAUUUGUAAAAUAAAGGGCUUCAUUUAGGUAAUUCCUGAGGUCUCUUCCAAGUUCUUAGCCUAUGAUCCUGUAGAAUACCAAGUUGAAGCCAUUUGCUCUUUUCUUUUUCAGAGGAAUUUUUCAACAAAUUACCAAAAAGUGAUCCAUAGAAAAGGGAAAGAGUUAUAGCUACAAUUCUUUUGAAAUACUGAAAAAUUGAAAGCUAUCAAGAUUAGGCUGAGUGAAUAAAUUUUGGUUUUUAACUUAGCCAACAGGAUAAUUUAGGCAACUUAAUUUAUAGUCAAGGAUCAGUUCUGUACAUUUUUUUACAGUUUGCAAGGAAUGUGUUUUCUGGGUAGAUAUAUGUCCCCGGAAGCUGUUCAGAGAAUGUGGAAUGUUAAGUGCAGGGUUCCAACAAUAGCAAAAGCAACAACGAAAAACAAAAAAACACGACAGUAGGGUUGAGCUUAAAUAGAAAUGAAUACCUGCAGGCUGCAUUUUGGCUUAAAAAAACUUGUAUUAAUUUUAUUCAUGUUUUAUUCUAUUUGUAUUUAUUUUGUUAGAUGUUUCCCAAUUAGAUUUUAAUUUGAUUUGGGUUUUACUCUGGAGUGUUGGGGCUGCAAGCAGCUCAUGGGCCAGGUGUUUGACAUCUGCUCUGGGGCGUUUAUAGGGAGGUCUGAACAAAGUGGUCAGUUUGGGGCAAUUAAGUCUUUAAUCAUCCCAUACUUUUGUUUGGGGAUACUGCCCUUUUAUCCUUAUUUUAAAACACUUGGGGAAUGAUAGAACAAGAAUGCUUAUGGAGAAUGUUUGAAGGAGAAUCCUUUUUAUUUUAUACUGAUGUAGAAUUUCCAGUAGUACCCAUCUCUACUUAACUUUGUUUGAACCUCUUUUGAGCAGAGGGUAGGGUUCUGAAAUCUGUAAUUUGUACUCCAGACUUUUCCCAUGCAAACAAAUUAUGUGUAAUUAGGUACUAAUUUCAGUAGUAUGAAUUGAGUGCAUUGUGGGUUAAAUAAACUUGUGAGCUGAACUGGGAACAUAAUCACCAUUUAUAUAUUGUUUCUGUGAGAAAAUGCAUCUCCAAACGUGUUAAACAUUAUCUGUUACUAAAUUAGUGGCAGCCUUUCUCACCUGCUUUAGGCAUUAUUUUGUCCAAUUUCAUCAUACUUUCAUCUAGCUAAGUCAACAAACACACCUAAUUACUUAUUAUAUUCCGGAUUUUAAUUCCCUCUUUUGUGAAACUUACCAACAUAACUCAUUCAUUUUGUUUCAUUUUUAUCAAAUAGUGGAAUUGUUACAAAAGGAAUGAAAACUAGAGCAAUUGUUAUUUUGUUAGAGGACGAUUUUUUUUUUUAAUCUAUAGCUGUUUUAUUAAAAAAAAAAUGCUGACCACAAAUUUCUUCUCAUAUACUUUUUAGAAUUUUAAGGAUUCUUGCUCUUAGAGGAAAAUAUUUAUAGUAUGAACAUUGCAGAGCAUCUCUGCAAAAUAAUGAACUCAGUGAUUGGAAUUCCCAUCUCUAUAAUUAAUGAUUUCUCAUAUAGUGAAUGAUUACAUAGAAUAGUACUGAAUGGCAACCACUAUAAUCUUUCAUUAUAAUGUAGCUGAUGGCAACUCUCAUAAAAAUAAACCAAAAAACCAUGAACUUCAUUGCCAUUAGAAGUUGGUCCUCAAUCAAAGCUUUUUUAUUUAUGUAAUGUCUACUGAACCUCUUGUUCUUUUCUUCCAAAUUUGUCUAAGAGUCUAGGAGCCCAACUCAGUGUUGAAAAGAUACUGCCUAUGUUAACCGUAAUGUUAUGAUUACUUAAAGAGUUCACAAAAUUAUCGAAUGAUUCAGACAUUCUUAGAUUAGAAGAGGAAGGAGGGGUGAGAUUUUGAAGUUUAUUUUGGAAUUUUAGAAGUUGACUAGAAAUUUUAAAACAUCUAUAUUUUAAAGAAUUCUUGAACUUAAAGUUCACUGUGCAGAAGAUAGUCCAGUCUACCCCUGACAAUCAUGUGAAAACCUCUAGAGCUAAGGAAUCCUCUUUCUCCUGAGGCAGACCAUUCCCUUGUAGAAGGCUUUAAAUAUUAGAACCAGAGGAAUUUUUAGAAAGGAAUAUUUUAACUCAAUAUAAGGGAAAAUGUCCUGUCACCCACUGCUUUUAUUCGGUAGCCUCUGAAGCCAAGAAAUCUAAUGGUCUUCCUUGGAUGAGACAGCUUUUCAGGUUAAUGAGGCUAUAGUAGCUAAGAUACCCUGUCUUUCCCUUGUUUAGAGUUGCCAAUCUUUUUAAAGUUAGUGUACCUGAAAGGGGACAAAAUCCUCCAGUUAUGGUAUAACCAUGAGAGUAACUAACCUUUAUAAGCUUUAAACUUGUCAAGUUGAUGUGUAUAUAUUAUUCCGUUUGAACCAUACAAUAAUACUAUGAGGUAGGUACUACAGAUGGUAUAUUCAUUUUAUAGAGGAGAAAACUGAAGCUCAAAGAGCAACUUGGCAAGACAGUGUCAGAGACAGUUUAAACUCAGGCCUUCUGAUUCCAGCCUAUUUUUCUAUUCACUUUACUACAUUGCCUGUCUUUGGAGAUAAGGACGGACCACCAUAGAACUCUGACUUGAAAAAAGGUGAAAUAGGAGACAGUGAUAAAAAACUCUGGAUUUGUAGUCAAAAGAUCUUAUUGCUACUUAGAUGAUUGGACAAACCACUUAAACCUGUCUAGAUUUUAGUUUCCUCAUUUAUAAAAUAAAGGGCUUGCUUUCAGCUUUAAGUCAGAUACUUCUUUUGUUCCAAAAUGCUAACUAUUUUAAAACUACUUAAAAAAAUAAAAUGAACACAAUUAACUUACUGAGCUUGCAAUCCCCUUAAACCACUGAGCAUUUUAAUUUGAAUUGUUGUCUUGCCACUCUUUUCCUAAUCAAUUUUUUUAUUAGAUUUCAUCUUUUUUUGAUUUGAUCAGUCCUUCUAGCUGGUUAAGAUAUUUUUGGAUCCUGAUUGUUCUUCAGUUUUUCUCUCCCAACUUUAUGUCAACUAUACAUAUGGUAAGCAUGAUGAUGAGGGUUUUUAGGUGCAGAGUAUUAAGGAAAAGAAAUAUAUCAUAAAUGCUGGAUUCUCUGUAUUCUCAGGAAAGGAAGAAUUAAAAUCAUUGGCUGAGAAGAAAGGGCUUUAAGGUUAGUGUAGAAAGCUUGAAGAAAAGAGGUUGGGAAUAUUUGGGAGAAUAAUUUAGAAGACUACAAUGCUGUUGUACAACAUUAAAGACCCAGUUCUAAGUAAAUAAAAUAAAUGUGUAGCUGAUACAACUCAAUUUUGUGGUUCAGGUAGAAGGUAAAGGAACACCAAGAUUAGUGUUUGGUAGAGUUAGGGCAAGGAACUAGAGAACAGUAUUGAACUGAACGUGUCAACUGGGGUCAAAACUAUGAAAUGAAAAAUGAUAGGAGACUGGGAAGGGCAGAGAAAGAGAUACCUCUUUCAUAACAAUGUUAUGGUGAAAGUAGGAUUAGGAAUAAUGAGGCAGAGGAGCAUAAUGGUAAGAUAGGAAGUUAUGAUUAGCAAUUAGAGAUUUUUGGAUCAAUAGAAGUAGAGUAUGGAUGAUGAAUCAAGGGUAUGACCAUCUGUGUGACUGAGUUGAAAUGAAAGUACAAGUAUUGGGAGUUGAGGUUGGAAAACAGUGUUUCAGGCCCUCUGUCCCUUUUAAAAUUUUUCCUACUCUACCAUCACACCCUCCCCUUCUCCACUGCUCACAUCCCCAGCUCCCUUGAAGAAGGGGUUAUCUUUUGGUCCUGGAGGCCAAUAUAUAACUGCCCCAAGAAUCUGAAUAGGGUAUUAUAUACAGAGAGAGCCUUUAAGAAAUUUAGUAAUGAUGGCAGAGCAAGGGUCAAGAAGUGGCAGUGAGGAAUAUGGAAUUUGUCUAUAUCUCAGCUCAGUGUAUUUGUAUUAGAGAGGAGAGCAUAAGAAAGUAUGAAGAAAAGGUAUUGAUAGUUCUGGAGAAGUUGGGUAGGGGAUGUAGUAUCUGACAGGAGUCAGCCUUUGAAGAGAGACAAAAUGAAAGGAAUGUGCAAAAGAGGUCUGAGACAAAGGGAAAUUACCAGUGGAAUGAAGAUUCCAGACUGAGAAGGAUUGGGAUGGGAAGAAACAGGUAUAUAGGAAUGAGAAGGCAAUGAGUGGUGGCAGGGGAAUGGUAUUUUCACAGCUGAAUCAGGGAUUCUGAGGAUGUAGGAGUUUGCUAGCCAGAGAGUAGGGAUGUAACAUUUGAUUGGACCCCUACCUUCAAAGGUAUUUGAUGACAAAUAGAGCUACAGAUCAAAUGUAAAAAAGAAUAUAGGGGUAAUUAUAAAAUUUUAUAUUCAUGUUUCAAAAUUUUAUAUAAGUACAAGGUGGGGGAAGUACAAUUAAAAGUUAUUUGUGUGAAGAGAAUCUGCAGGUUUUGAUGAACUGCAAAUGAUAAAGCAGUCAAAACAAUUAGUAAGAUCUUGAGCUGUAGUGAGAGGUGGCCACAGUAAGGAAGAGAAUAGUACAGUUGUUCUCUCCUCAAAACCUUGUAUUUAUUGUGUUCUGAGUGCCACAUUUUAAGAAGGACAUUAAUAAUCCUGAGAAUGACGAGGAUACUUAGGGGAUGGGAGAUCAUAAUAUAAUAAUGCCAACUACUAAUGCAGUUCAGAUUUGCAAAGAGAUUUAUCUGUGUUUCUAUCCAUCAAAAUUUGAUCCCUGUUAUAUCCUUAUAUGAAUUAGGUGUUUUUAUCCCCAUUUUACAGAAAAGGCAAUUGAAGAUUGGUUAGAGAAACUGGAAGUUUUUAGCUUGAAUAAUAGAUGGCUUAUAGGGGAAUAUGGUAGAUGCCUUCAUUUAUGUAUUUGAGUGCAAUCUUUUGGAUAGUGGAAUUGAAUUUCUUCUGCUCUAUCCACUAAGGCAGACUAAGGAUUAUAUGUGAGAAUUUAAGAGAAGCAGAUUCUAGUUUGAUUGAUAAAAAGUUUUUUUCUGCCCUAAACAAAGCAUGAUAAUGAAUUUCAUUAGAAAAAAAUGAAAGGCCUAAAUAGAAUUUAGAAAAGGUAGAUAUAAUAAAUAGCUCUCUGGUGAUUACUAAAUGGUAAUCAAAAAGAGAACAUGUUACUUAGACAUAUAUUUAAACACUUUUCCAAAAAUCAACCAGAUAUUGGCAUAAAAAUCACACAGAAAAAUAAAAAUAUUAAAUAUAUUCUUUUGCUGGUCAUAAUAUAAUCAAUUAUACUUUUAAAAAAGAGGCUUAGAAAGAAGGAUUUAACAGUUGAAGACUAAAUAAUUUAGUCCUAAAAUAUUAGUUUGUCAAAGAAUAAAUCAUAAAAAACAAUAGAUAAUUCCAUCAAUGAAAGAGCCAACAAUGAGAUAGCAUGCCAAAACUUUUGGUUUGCAGCCAAAAUAUUCCCUAGAAGGAAUUGUAUGUUGCUAAACACUUAAUAAAAGAAAGUAUAGAUUAAGGAAUUGAGCAUUUAACUAAAAAGACUAGAAAAACAUAAAAAUCUGAAUUAAACACUAAAAGAAAAACUUUUGAAAUUUGGAGAAAGAAAAUUGAAAGUGAAAUCUCCCAAACGAACAUCAUUGAGUUGAUAACUAAAACUUGAAACUUUUUUUUUUUAAUUCAGUAGUUAAUAGGAUUUUUAGAGAUAAGAAACCACUCACUGAUAUCAAAAGCAGAAAAGAAAAAUUUGUAACACAUGAAGAUGAAAGAAACGAUUAGAAUAUUUUGUCCAAUUAUAUGCUUACAAAAUAGAUGAUUUUGAUUAAAUAUAUUAAUACUUAUAAAAUAUGAAGUACCCUGAUAAAUAGGGUAUUUCAUCACAGAUCAUUAGAUUACAGAGAUUAUCUAAUUUUACAAAAAAGUGAUAAGCCAUAACUACCCUGCCAUCAUCCCACUAUCUUCCUCAAAAGAAAACCCAUGGCAAGAAAUACAAAUGAAUUUUAUCAAACAUUUAACUAAUAACAGCAUUUAUUUAGUAUUUUAAGGUUUGCAAAGUGCUUUACAUAGGUUUUGUCACUUAACUCUUACAACUCUAAAAAUAUCACCAUUGUAUAGAUAAGGAAACUGAGGCUGAGAAAUUAAGUGAUGUCACCAGGUUUAUACAGCCCGUAUCUGAGACAGGUUUUGAAUUCAAGUUUUCCUGCCACUAAGUCCAACACUAUCCAGUGUGCCAUCUAGCUGCUAAAAAGUAUUAAUUAAACUUUACAAAAAUAGGAAAAAGGAGGGUUUUUUUUUAUUGAGAGAGAGAGAAGUAGAGAGAGAAGAAAACUUGCUCAAUAGCCUUAAUGAAUAUUACAAAAAAAUUAAAAAUUAUGAUACAACAUAUUGCAAAUAUAUACUCUGGCCAGGGAUUGAUAUAGCAAUGAAUGCAGAGUGAGUUGAAUAUAAGGAAAACCAACAAACAGACCAUUUUAAAGCCAGUAAUCACAUGAUUGAAUCAAAUAUUGAAAAAGUUUUUCACAAGAUAUAGCACCAAUUCUAUUAGAAAACUUAAACAAAUGGACCUUAAUUUUAAUAUGGCAAACAGUAUCUUUUUAAACCUAUGGACCAACAUUACAUGUAGUGGAGAAGUAAAAAAAAAAUCUAAUAAGAGUAAUGGAAAGGCAAAGAUGUUCAUUCUUAUUGCUAUUAUUUAUUAAAGUGGUGGAAAAUGCUACUUGUAAUAAUAAGACCAAAAAAAAAAAAAAAAUUAAGCAUUGUUUUAAGGAGUAGGAAAUAAGGACUUUUUUUUUUUUUUUUUUUUUUUUUUUUUUGGCAGAUCAUAUAAACAGUCCAUUUAGAGAACCCUAAUGAUUCAAUUCAAAACUUUUUUGAAAAACUUGCAAAGCUUCAGGAAAUCAGCUUUUGUAUAUUCUAUCAGAGUCUAGCAAGAAGAAAUAGAAAGAGAAAUUUGAUUAGAAAUAACUACAGAGUGAAUAAAAUAUUUUGCUGUCUACAUACUAAGAUACAUAGGAAUUAUAGGAAUACAAAUACAUUUACAGAAAGAGCUAAAUAAUUUGAGAAAUGUUAAUUAUAGACUGAACCAACAAUUGUUAUUAUUUAUAUAGCAUUUUAAGGUUUGUAAAGAACUUUACAGCUAUCAUUUCACUGAUCUCUACAACAAUCCUGGGUGGUGUAGGUGCUCUUCUCACCAUUUUAGAAAUGAAGAAAUAGGCUGAGAGAGGUUAAGUGAUGUCCAGGAUUACAUAGCUAGUAAGUAUCUAAAGUAGGAUUUGACCCUAGGUUUUCAUGAAUUUCAGGUCUGUCAGUCUAUCCACUGUGCCACCUAGCUGCCUCAAUAUAAUAAAUAUAAUAAAAUUAUAACAUCUAAACUACUAAUUUAAACAACCAAAGAAUCACCUUAUAGCAAAAGAAAAAAAAAAUUAUUCUGGAAGAACAAAAGCUCAAGAUGCUCAAAGGAAAUGAUGAAAAAGGUGGAGAGAAGAGAGCCUGAUGGUUAGAUCUCAAACUAUGCUGCAAAGUCGUAAUUAAUAAAAAUUAUUUUGUGCUGCUUGAAAAAUAGGUUAGCCAGUGGAGCUGAUUAGUUAUACAACAUAUAGAAGCAAAUAAACCCAGGAUUAUAGUGUUUAAUGAACACAAAUAUCCUAAUUGUUAAGUAAGGACUUUACCGUUUGUCCAAAAUUUCUGUGAAAUGUAGAAAGCAGUCAGGCUGAAAUUAGGCUUAGACUAAAAUCUUACACCAUAUAUUAACAUUAGCUCUAAAUGCAUACAUGACUUAGAUAUCAAAAGAUCACAUCAUAAACAAGAGGAACAGAGAGGAACUCUCUUUGCAACUAUAGAUAGGAAAAUAAUUUAGGACCCAACAAGCAUUUGAAAAGAUUGUAAAACAUAAAAUAGAUUGAUUCCUUAAAAUUGAAAAGUUUGCACAAAAUUAAUGCAGUUAAAAUUAUAAGGGAAACAGUUAACUGGGGAAAAUUUCUGUAGUGGUACUUCUUUGAAAUUAUACAAAUAUAAGAACCAUUUCCUUAUAGCUAAAUGAUGAAAAGAUAUGAAGAGACAGUUUUCAAAGGAAGAAAAUCAGACUAUCAAUGUUCAAAUUAGGGUAUACCCCAAAUCAAUAAAUAUAGAAAUGCAAUUGAAGCAACUUUGAGGUUCCACACAUUAGAUUGGCAAAGGUAAUUAAAAAAAGAAAAAUGAUAAUUAUUGAAGGGACUGGAGAGGGGUGCCCAUCAAUUGGGGAAGGGCUAUACAAAUUUUGGUAUAUGAAUGUAAUGAAAUGUGAUUGCACAGUAAAAAAUAAAGGGAUGGUUUCAAGGAAAACUAAGAGUAGUUAGAAAAUAUACAUAUAUGAAGUUAGAAUUAGGAGAAUUACUUAUAUAGCAACAUUGUAUACAAAAGCAACUUUGAAUAAAUUAAUUUUAUUAUGAUUAUUUGAUUAAUAAAAUAACCAACCACAUCUUCAAAAGGAGUGAUGAAGGAUGGUACUUCCUAAACAGAGAGGAGAUAGUCUAAAGGUGAAUAAUGAGACAUAAGUUUUCAAAUAUCGUUAAUAUGUGGAUUUUUUUGAUUGAUUAUGCACAUUUGUUACAAGGAUUUUGUUUUUCCCUUAAAAAAAGAUAUGGAGAAGGGUUGGGAAGAGUGGGAGAAGUUUGACUAUGU